UGGUCAAGUGUAAUGUAUGUAGUCCAAUCUAUUGAAGUACUAGCACACCAUCUCUAGUGAGAUGAUGUGGUUGAGUAGUUCAAUACAUUGGACUACAUAUAUUACUUUUGAUCAA
rfam:Brassica napus, WGS project CCCW01000000 data, contig: 3990